CGAACAACUCUGGACACACAGCCUUUAAGAGCUGUAACGCUCACUGCGAAGGUGUGCGGCUUCACUCCUGCAGUCAUCAAGACCACGAACCCACCAGAAGGAAGAAACUCUGGACACAUCUGAACAUCUGAAGGAACAAACUCCGGACACACCAUCUUUAAGAACUUUAACACUCACCGCAAGGGUCCACAGCGUCAUUCUUGAAGUCAGUGAGACCAAGAACCCACUGGAAGGAACUAAUUCUGGACACACUGUGAUCACAUCACUGUACUUCAGCCUGGGUGACACAGUGAGACCCUGUCUCUAAUUAAAAACAAAAAUUAGAAUAUUGCUCCUGUGCAAUAUCAAAUGCUUAGUGGAUCUAGGUGAUGAUUGUCAAUGACUGCUAAUAAUACAUGAAGAAACAACCACAUAUUAUAUACUACUAAUCUAUGGAAAUAAGGGAGGGAGAAAUACAUUGAGAAACACUGCAGGAAUGCUAUCAGAAAAGUCCAGAAUAUAAGAAAUUCUAUAUCAAAUAACAUUUUUCAACAAAAGAAACUGAGAGAAAAGAAAAAGAAAUGAAAGCACAAUUUGCAGGUUAAAAGCACUUCUCCUUGCUGCUGCCCUAUGAAGAAGGACAUGUUUGCUUCCCCUUCCCCCGUAAUUGUAAGUUUUCUGAGGCCUCCCCAGCCCUACAGAACGAGUUCAUGUUAUACUGGUGAUUCUUUCGUCUGUCUCAGAGAUGACAGCCUGCUAUACACCUUGUUGACCAAAAGCAACAUCAGGUAGAGAAGUUUAAGUCAAACCUUCACUAGUAUUUAAAAC
rnacentral:lncRNA from 10 species